rnacentral:lncRNA from 1 species
GAGCCUCUGCAGCGCCUCCCGGUCCCGCACCGCCGCCAUGGCGCCGCUCUCCGCUCCCAUUGGCUGAGCGGCCCUCAGAGAGGCGGGGCUUGCUACGUUCUACGGCUUCCCAUUGGUCGCCUGAUGGGCGGAAGGGGCGGGGAUUCCCGCGGAGAGCGUGGCGCACGGUGAUGACGUUGCUUUCGGUGAGUGUGUGUUACACGUCACUUCCGGCGGCUGGAUAUUUGCGUCACUUCCGGGGGCGGAGCUGCGUAGCGGUGAGUUGGGAGCGGCGGCGGGUCCUAUGGAAACCCUAUAGAAACCCUAUAUAACCCUAUAUAACCCUAUGGAAACCCUAUAGAGACCCUAUAGAGGCCCUAUAGAGGACCUAUAGGCGCUCAAUGGGGCUCUAUUGGGGCCCUGAAGGCCCUAUAUAAGACCCCCAUCUAUGGGACCCUAUAGUUGUUCUAUGAGGCUUCCGGUGGGGUCCUAUAGGGAUCCUAUAGGCGUUCAGUGGGGCCCUAUAGACCCUCCAUAGGGCCCUAUAGACCCUCCAUAGGGCCUUAUAGACCCUCCAUAGGGCCCUAUAGACCCUCCCCAGCCCCCCCCCAAUCCAUCAUGGCGGACCCCCUGGAGACCCUCCAUGUUGAAGCCAGCUUUACCUCCCCAAAUCCCCCCCUUAGGACCCUCAAGACCCCUUCAGGACCCCCUCAACCCCCAUCAGGACCCCUUAGGACCCCAGGACCCUUGAAGGACCCUCUAUCUCCUCUUAUUUAAACCCUAUUUUUGCUGUUCUUUCCCCUCAGCCCCCCCCGCCCAAAU